AAAAAGGUAAGCUAAAUUCAAAGCUUUUGGAUUCAUACCUCAAAUAUAGAUCAUUCUCCUUUUUA
rnacentral:tRNA from 1 species